rnacentral:rRNA from 1 species
CUAGGGGCCCUUUCAGGUUUGUUUGUGGAAUGUUGGGUUAAUUCCCGAAAGGGGGCAACCCUUUUCCCUCUUUUCCCAGGGGUUCGGCCGGGAACUCAAAGGAGACUGCCGGUGACAAACUGGAGGAAGGUGGGGAUGACGUCAAGUCAUCAUGGCCCUUACGCCUAGGGCUACACACGUGAUACAAUGGUCGAUACAAAGGGAAGCGACCUCGCGAGAGCAAGCGGACCUCAAAAAGUAAUCGUAGUCCGGAUUGGAGUCUGCAACUCGACUCCAUGAAGUCGGAAUCGAUUGUAAUGUUAGAUCAGAUUGGUACGGUGAAUACGUUCCCGGUCCUGGUACACACCCCCCGUCACACCAUGGGCGUGGGUGCCAAAGAACUAGGUAGCUUAACCUUCAAGAGGGCGGUAACCUACG